rnacentral:rRNA from 1 species
ACGGUGAAACCGCGAAUGGCUCAUUAAAUCAGCUAUGGUUCCUUAGAUCUUACAUCCUUACUUGGAUAACUGUGGUAAUUCUAGAGCUAAUACAUGCCAAAGAACCUUGACUUGUUAAAAGUUGGGGUGGAUUUAUUAGAACAAAACCAACCGGCUUAUGCCGUUGAUUUGAUGACUCUGGAUAACUUUUCUGAUCGCAAGGCCUUAGUGCCAGCGACGUAUCUUUCAAGUGUCUGCCCUAUCAACUAUCGAUGGUAGGUGAUAUGCCUACCAUGGUUAUAACGGGUAACGGGGAAUCAGGGUUCGAUUCCGGAGAGGGAGCCUUAGAAACGGCUACCACAUCUAAGGAAGGCAGCAGGCGCGCAAAUUACCCACUCUCAGCUCGAGGAGGUAGUGACGAAAAAUAACAAUACGGGACUCAUACGAGGCCACGUAAUUGGAAUGAGUACAAUUUAAAUCGUUUAACGAGUACCAAUUGGAGGGCAAGUCUGGUGCCAGCAGCCGCGGUAACUCCAGCUCCAAUAGCAUAUAU